UGGGGGAUAUUGCACAAUGGGCGAAAGCCUGAUGCAGCGACGCCGCGUGGGGGAUGAAGGCCUUCGGGUUGUAAACUUCUUUUGCUCUGAACAAGGCAUGCUAAUGGGUGUGUUGAGUGUAGGGGUUGAUUAGCGCCGGCUAACUACGUGCCAGCAGCCGCGGUAAUACGUAGGGCGCGAGCGUUGUCCGGAAUUAUUGGGCGUAAAGGGCUUGUAGGUGGCUGGUUGCGUCUGUCGUGAAAGCUCAUGGCUUAACUGUGGGUUUGCGGUGGGUACGGGCUGGCUUGAGUGCAGUAGGGGAUGCUGGAAUUCCUGGUGUAGCGGUGGAAUGCGCAGAUAUCAGGAGGAAUACCGGUGGCGAAGGCGGGUCUCUGGGCUGUUACUGACACUGAGGAGCGAAAGCAUGGGGAGCGAACAGG
rnacentral:rRNA from 1 species